rnacentral:rRNA from 1 species
UACGAAGGGGGGCUAGCGUUGCUCGGAAUCACUGGGCGUAAAGCGCACGUAGGCGGAUUGUUAAGUCAGGGGUGAAAUCCCGGGGCUCAACCCCGGAACUGCCUUUGAUACUGAUAGUCUCGAGUCCGGAAGAGGUGAGUGGAAUUCCGAGUGUAGAGGUGAAAUUCGUAGAUAUUCGGAGGAACACCAGUGGCGAAGGCGGCUCACUGGUCCGGUACUGACGCUGAGGUGCGAAAGCGUGGGGAGCAAACAGG